GCUGGGCAUGGUGGCGUAUGCCUGUAAUCCCAGCAACUCUGGAGGCUGAGGCGGGAGAAUUGCUUGAGCCUGGGAGGCAGAGGUUGCAGUGAGCUGAGCCACUGCCCUCCAGCCUUGGCGACAGAGCAAGACUCCGUCUCAA
rnacentral:SRP_RNA from 1 species